AUUGAACGCUGGCGGCAGGCCUAACACAUGCAAGUCGAACGGUAACAGGAAGAGGCUUGCUUCUUUGCUGACGAGUGGCGGACGGGUGAGUAAUGUCUGGGAAACUGCCUGAUGGAGGGGGAUAACUACUGGAAACGGUAGCUAAUACCGCAUAACGUCGCAAGACCAAAGAGGGGGACCUUCGGGCCUCUUGCCAUCGGAUGUGCCCAGAUGGGAUUAGCUUGUUGGUGGGGUAACGGCUCACCAAGGCGACGAUCCCUAGCUGGUCUGAGAGGAUGACCAGCCACACUGGAACUGAGACACGGUCCAGACUCCUACGGGAGGCAGCAGUGGGGAAUAUUGCACAAUGGGCGCAAGCCUGAUGCAGCCAUGCCGCGUGUAUGAAGAAGGCCUUCGGGUUGUAAAGUACUUUCAGCGGGGAGGAAGGGAGUAAAGUUAAUACCUUUGCUCAUUGACGUUACCCGCAGAAGAAGCACCGGCUAACUCCGUG
rnacentral:rRNA from 1 species